UUCAGAUUGUGUUGUGGCCUUAUUCU
rnacentral:piRNA from 1 species